rnacentral:rRNA from 1 species
GAUGAACGCUGGCGGCGUGCCUCAAACAUGCAAGUCGAGCGGGGCUAUGUAAUAUCGCAAGGUAGAACAUAGCCUAGCGGCGAACGGGUGAGUAACACGUGGGUAACCUGCCUGGAAGACAGGGAUAACGAUUCGAAAGGGUCGCUAAUACCUGAUAAUAUCCUUUCAUCGCAUGGUGAUAGGAAGAAAGGGGAAACCCGCUUUCAGAUGGGCCCGCGUCCCAUCAGCUAGUUGGUAAGGUAAAGGCUUACCAAGGCGACGACGGGUAGCCGGUCUGAGAGGAUGUACGGCCACACUGGGACUGAGAUACGGCCCAGACUCCUACGGGAGGCAGCAGUUGGGAAUCUUAGGCAAUGGACGAAAGUCUGACCUAGCGACGCCGCGUGAGGGAAGAAGGCCUCGGUUGUAACUCUGUCAUGGGGAAGAAGUAAGUGACGGUACCCAACGAGGAAGCCCCUGCUAACUACGUG